rnacentral:rRNA from 1 species
AUUGAACGCUGGCGGAAUGCUUUACACAUGCAAGUCGAACGGCAGCACGGGGCAACCUGGUGGCGAGUGGCGAACGGGUAAGUAAUACAUCGGAACGUGCCCAAUCGUGGGGGAUAACGUAGCGAAAGCUACGCUAAUACCGCAUACGAUCUACGGAUGAAAGCGGGGGAUCGCAAGACCUCGCGCGAACGGAGCGGCCCAUGGCAGAUUAGGUAGUUGGUGGGGUAAAGGCUCACCAAGCCGACGAUCUGUAGCUGGUCUGAGAGGACGACCAGCCACACUGGGACUGAGACACGGCCCAGACUCCUACGGGAGGCAGCAGUGGGGAAUUUUGGACAAUGGGCGCAAGCCUGAUCCAGCCAUUCCGCGUGCAGGAUGAAGGCCUUCGGGUUGUAAACUGCUUUUGUACGGAACGAAAAGGCUCUGGUUAAUACCCGGGGCUCAUGACGGUACCGUAAGAAUAAGCACCGGCUAACUACGUGCCAGCAGCCGCGGUAACAC